GACACAGAACGACAGAGGGGGAGAUGAAAAGCAGGUGCUGACGAUGAGAAGACAGUGAGAGCCCAUCCCACUUUGGUUUAUGUCUUCAGUUUUUCUUUCUUUCUUUUUUUCUUUCUUUCU
rnacentral:ribozyme from 11 species